AAACCGUGACAGGCUAAAUGAAAAUUUUCAUUGCAGUCAUCUUCUCCGGCUUUCCCCAUCCAAUCUUACAGCUUUGUUUUGUGAUUUGCUCCAAAGGGCGAGGUUUAGACUCUAAAGCUGACACUUGCUGUGAUACUCUGUUGUGCAGUUUCAUAAUGUUCUUCGCUAACAAUCCAAAGUUGGACCAUAGGUGAUGUUUCCAAAUACUGUGUAUCAGAUCAAAGUUCUGGGAAAUCUGGUUAUUGACUUAUUGCAAAGCUUUUGAGAGCUUUUGAGAUGAUGCUACAGAUUACUGAAGUGCAUUUUCUCUUGGUAAACUAUUAUCACCACUUCUCAGAAACAGCCCAGUUCCUUCCUGUAUUGUGAAUGUCACAUCUCUCACACAUCGAAGUGGAAACAUCUGGAGUUUACUUUUUUGGUGGAAAGGGCCAUACUGUCAGCUCUUCUAUGCUUUCAUAUGAUGCCAAACGUCCGAAGGAACUUUGGAAUACAUCGUCUGAUCUAUUUCUAGAGUCACAAGUUUGGAAUACCUCCACUUCUGUAUCAAAUUGUGUAUCAUAGGUAAACAACAGUUUACAUAUAAAUGGAUGUGUUAAUUAUAAGGUGUUUGACUUGGUUGAUGACGUUGUCAUUGUUAUGCUUAACUAAGUAAUUUUCCUUAGAUUGGAUUAUAGCAGCAUGGACUACAUUAUCUUAGGCAACCGUGGGUUAACUUUUUAGAGUGGAUAGCUGACCAAUGGAGGGAACACAUCUCGAAAAUUACAAAGAAGUUAUAUUUGGCUGUGUCUCACUGAAGGGGAGGAACCAUAUGGCUUUUACAAAUGUGAUUAGUCCUCCUAAAGUCAUACUUAUUUCUAUUAUUACCUGCAGUGGGAGCAGAUUUUGCUCCUUCAAGUUUAAACCAUAAUCCUUCACUUAUCCAUAAGUGGCAUCCCCCUUAUGAAAGUUGGCUUUUUGGCAGACUACUAGUGAUGAAUCAAUGACUUGAGGUAUCAUUUGGAGAAACAAGCCCUCAUAUUUUUGCUCUAAAUGCACUGCGAUUCUCUUUUCUUUUACACCAAUUGUAAUAUAAUUUUUUGGAAUAGUUCUUUGCAAUUUCUUCCUCUCGUUUGAGUUUUGUUAGAUCUUGUUUUUGAGAGAACUUGAUGUCUCAGUACAUUAUAACAAGUACACAGGGGUGUUAUAGAAUUCUGUUCUGUUGUAUGCAUGAAAUGAAUACUCUGUGAUCGGAUCCAAACUUACUAGAACUAGAAGUUGCGUUAAUCAGUAUUAAUCGCAAUAUCUGUAGUUAUUUUGGAUUUCAUUUAUUGAACGCAUGAUAAAGUGGAAGUGGCAUUUACAUGCAGCCUGCCCUGGAAAUUUAUGGUGUUAGUUUUUUAACACAAUCAUCUAACUCACGUAGAAGUUCCUUUCUCUUAGCAAAUAACUCAUCUUAAAGAUAUACAAAACCUCCAACCUUGAGUUUUGUCUGUCGGAAAAACUGAAUUAUAAAAAGGAGAUAUUAAGUGCAAUGAAGAAGGCUUGUGCCAAACUCAUGGAUGAUGAAACUUAUAUCAGUAAUGGAAAUUUCUGAUUGCAGUGGACUGCCCUUCUAGUGUUUAUGAUUGAAGCAAUAGUUUGUGCUGUUGAAAUCUAGUCAUCUUUGUGUUGGAAUUUGAUUACAAUAUCUGAGAACUAAUGCAUUUCAACUGUAAGGAAACUUGCAGGAAGAGUUGCCACUUCUGGAUUCUGUGUUAUAGUCCCGGACUUCAUCUACGGAGACCCAUUUGUGUAUGACAAUUACAGGCCUCAAGCAGUCUGGUUAAAAGAUCAUGGAACGGUUCUUCUUGCUCUUUCAUGAAUUCCUGGAUAUUAUUUUUUAAUUAAAUGCUCAGCUGUAAUAUUGACGCGUGAAUCAGAUAUUUACAAUUUUGGGUUGCACCAAAAUUUAUUUGUAUCCUGCUGCCUGGUUUUCUUGUUUUUCCUUCACACCUAGCAUAUAUUCUAGCAAAAUGGAAACAUUUUGCCCGUUUUAGAAGUUUGUUGCCCUAAUGUUGCAAACUCAUGCAUAUAUUGUUGCAUAUUUUAGCUAUAGAUAAUGUCAAAUUAGUGAUUGCUAAGCAUUGAUCAGGAUAAGGGCUUUAAAGAUGCAAAAUUAGCGAUUGACGCUCUGACAGGCAAAGAUUUUUCUGCAACUGGUGCUGCAGGCUUCUAUUGGGGUGGUGAAUGUAGUUGAUAUUCUUUUUGUACAGAUUUUCUUCUCCCUUUUCUCUUGUUUUGUUAACUUUCAGUUUUUUCGUCAUCAGAUAUUUAGUUCCACUUGUAGUUUCCCCUAGUUCAAUUCUUCAGCAACAAUUCUUCAGCAACAUAAAUGAGGAAUCUACAACUAUAGCAGCUGACUGAACUAUGUUUUUCUCAGCCAAGGUCGUCACCAAACUUGCGAAGUCCGAGUCCAUCCAAGCUGCUGUGCUGUUACAUCCUUCAUUUAUUUAGGUGGAUGAGCAAUUUUGUUCUUUUAAGUUCUUAACUAUAGGUUGAUAGCUAUGUGAAGAUAUCUCCAAAAGUUGCACAUGGUUGGGCUGUGUGGUACGAUGUUGAAUAUGAAGUAGCUGCAUGCAAAGAGUGCAGAGGAAGCGUAUAUGACGAGUUGCAGUGGUUAUGUAAAGUAAUUAUCUCCUUCUCAUUCUGUUUUUGAUGAGAACAAACAUGGAUUCUUAAAUGGUAGAAUAAUUCUUGGAACUCUGAUCCAAUUCGAAGUCUUGAUCUAUUAAGUAUGAUAUUUGAUACUCUGCUAUAUAUUCCAAAACAAUGUUCUUAUUUCAA